CAGCACCUGGUGUUGUCAGCAAGGAUUUACUUUUGAGAGGGAGUUUCUAGAAUGCUUUCAUCACCCUGGUCAGCUCUGCCCACCUGAUUCACUUCCCUCUGCGUUAGGGAAAGGAGCCUCCGUGUCCCAGGAGUCCGCCUCUGAAGAGUUGCUGUGGCAACCAGGCAAUGAGCAGUACUUUUUAGAAUUCAGGAUUGCCAGGCCGGUGGACUAUUUCUCUCUGUUCCAGAUACCUGAUUGCGACAAUUUCCAUCAAUUCCAAUAAAAAAGGACAUCACAGAACAUGUCCACAAUACAGUGACCUGAAUCUGCUGGGAGAGCCUGUACUUCAUCAGACUUCUUACUGAUUAGAGGGGCAAGACCAAAAAGCCGGUGACCACUGCUUGGGGCUGAGACUGAUGUGUCCGCAUGUCCAUCUGACUUAUGAAGAAGAGAUGUGGGUGGUGGUCCAGCUUGGACUCUGCAUUUCAAGGAGGGAAGCAAGCAUGUCAAAGCCAAUAGCAGGAGAUGUGACCAUGGAAGGAAGAGGCUGGAGUGAUGGAGGGACAACCACAAGCCAAGGAGUGAGGAGGGCAGCCUCUAGACACUACAAAAGGCAGGGAAGUGGAUUUUCCCCUGAAGCCUCUAGAAGGACCCAGCUGUCAACACCCUGACUUUAGCCCAGUGAGAUGGAUUUUGGACUCUGACCUCCAAAACUAGAGAAGGAGGGGCAGAGAGAGAAGAAGAGAGAAUCUUGAGCAGGCUCCACGCCUAGGAGCUGGUGAUUGAGGCAGUGGCUACCAAGGCUUCAUCUGAAUCCCAAGGACAGGAGGAUCCCUCCUCUCCUGGGCUCCGCGGAGCUAGAAGACAGAGCCCACCACUGAUGACCAGAGUUGGUGAACUCAGAUUGUUGUAGACUAGUUACAGUCCACAGGUCUCCGAGCUACUUUCUGGCUGGCUUUGGCCCAUGGGAGGAACUGGGAGGAAAUCGGUUGGUGGGAGGAGCCAGGGUAUUUCUCCUCCUCUUCUCCUUGGGUGGAGACAGGCACUGGAUUUCUUCUUGUCACCUGCUUCUGCAGCAUCCGUUUUCAACUUCCUCGUUUGCCAGAUGACCUCCUGGCUCUAGUAACUCCACCUCCUUCUUUUGUCCCUCCAGCCUGGGGAUGGGAAUAAAUGUUGUGCAUUUGCCAAUCUUGCCAGUUACUUCAUUACUUUCUGGCUUUUUCAAGCCUCUUACAUCAUCGGUAGAGCCAAUUCCCUACAUUAAAAUUCCAAUU